UACGUAGGAUCCAAGCGUUGUCCGGAUUUACUGGGUGUAAAGGGUGCGUAGGCGGACUUAUAAGUCAGUGGUGAAAUCUCACAGCUUAAUUGUGAAACUGCCUUUGAUACUGUAGGUCUUGAAUUAGGGAGAGAUUCGUGGAAUUCCGAGUGUAGCAGUGAAAUGUGUAGAUAUUCGGAAGAACACCAGAGGCGAAGGCAGCGAAUUGGACCUAUAUUGACGCUCAGGCACGAAAGCAUGAGGAUCAAACAGG
rnacentral:rRNA from 1 species